CAGCCACAUCGUCAGCCCAGACCAAAGGUCAACUAAAACUUCACUUCAGACGCUCCAUUUUGUUUAGCCUGUUUGGAAGACUGUCUUUCAAAGAGACGAAGGAAAGAGGGAACUUGUUUUAUCGGCUCUUCUCAUUCUGUCGCCAAUUGUGAUAUCCGGUGUAACCAGUCCCUCCAUUCAAAAGACGCGCGGUGAAGAGAGUCUGAGGGGAUUCUGUGGGAAUCAGAAGACGGACACAAAGCAGGUGGGUGAAAUAUGUCGGUUAAAAAAGAAACAUAAGUUAUUGUUAGAGACGUUUGUAGUGAGUGUUGUAUAUGGGUAAGAAUGAAACUGACGCAGAUUGGUAGGAGGUAGGAUAGCCGAAUGAUACUCUCGACCACCGUCAUCUUUAGCGGAACUCGGAUAUUAAGAAAAUAUUAUUACAUUUAGCAAUUCUUGGACUUUCUCAAGCAUAUCCUUGGCACAGCCUAUUAAAAACAUCAGCCACUAAACAGAAGUAGUUCAUAGCAGUAUA
ensembl:lncRNA